GACACUAUAAGCAAAGAAGCACAAUAUUCUAAAGAUAAAUUGAAGAUAGCCGAAGAUGGCUUGAACGCAAUCCAAAAAGAUUUGGACAACAUAAAGAAAGAGAUUUCUUCACUCCAAAAAAGUCAGAAUUUCCUGACGAAAGAGUUGGUUAAGGCGAAGAAGGAAGUGAAUAUGGUCACCAAUCAAAAGACAACCAUGGAAAGGGAAUUCACUAAAGAAAAUAUGGCCUUCAUUGAUGACAUGAUGAAUACAAAUCAAGAUUUGUUUGAGAAUGCGGUCCAACAAAUUGUAUUUCUAAAUCUCAAAGGCAAAGAGGACAUAUACUAUACUCAUUCUUAAUUUAAAACGGUUAGAAGGG
rnacentral:lncRNA from 1 species